rnacentral:tRNA from 2 species
GCGGGAAUAGCUCAGUUGGUAGAGCACGACCUUGCCAAGGUCGGGGUCGCGAGUUCGAGUCUCGUUCCCCGCUCCA